rnacentral:rRNA from 1 species
AGGCGCAGCCUGAUGCGCGACGCCGCGUGAGGGAUGACGGCCUUCGGGUUGUAAACCUCUUUCAGGUAGGGAAGAAGCGAAAGUGACGGUACCUGCAGAAGAAGCGCCGGCUAACUACGUGCCAGCAGCCGCGGUAAUAACGUAGGUAAA